CCAGCCCUGGAUGCCCAGGUCCUCCCACUUGGUGAUCAGGAUUGAACACAGGCAGCGCAACAUGGACCUUACCAUGUGUUGGGUUUUCCUGUUUGUAAUUUUGAAAGGUGUCCAAGCAGAGGUGCCGCUGGUGGAGUCCGGGGGAGGAUUGGUGGCACUUGGGGGGUCCCUGAAACUCUCCUGUUUGGCUUCGGGAUUCACCUUCAGUAACUACUGGAUGGGCUGGGUCUGCCAGGCUCCAGAGAAGGGGCUGGAGUGGAUCUCAUCCAUCAAUUCUAACGGUGGUAGCACAUACUACGCGGACUCUGUAAAGGGCCGAUUCACCAUCUCCAGAGACAAUGGCAAGAACACGCUGUAUCUGGAAAUGAGCAGCCUGAGAACCGAGGACACGGCGGUGUAUUACUGUGCAAGAGACACAGUGCAUUUUCUUUUCAGUGUCAACUCAUCAUCAUAA